rnacentral:rRNA from 1 species
GAUGAACGCUGGCGGCGUGCCUAAUACAUGCAAGUCGAGCGAACAGACGAGGAGCUUGCUCCUCUUACGUUAGCGGCGGACGGGUGAGUAACACGUAGAUAACCUACCUAUAAGACUGGGAUAACUUCGGGAAACCGGAUCUAAUACCGGAUAAUAUAUUGAACCGCAUGGUUCAAUAGUGAAAAACGGUUUUGCUGUCACUUAUAGAUGUAUCCGCGCCGCAUUAGCUAGUUGGUAAGGUAACGGCUUACCAAGGCAACGAUGCGUAGCCGACCUGAGAGGGUGAUCGGCCACACUGGAACUGAGACACGGUCCAGAAUCCUACGGGAGGCAGCAGUAGGGAAUCUUCCGCAAUGGGCGAAAGCUUGACGGAGCAACGGCGCGUGAGUGAUGAAGGUCUUCGGAUCUGAAAACUCUGUUAUUAGGGAAGAACAAAUGUGUAAGUAACUAUGCACGUCUUGAAGGUACCUAAUCAGAAAGCCACGGCUAACUACGUG